rnacentral:tRNA from 1 species
GGGCCGGUAGACCAGCCUGGAAAUGAAGACGAUCAACAGACUGAUCGCCGCCUUGGCAUGGCGGAAGCCCGGGGUUCAAAUCCCCGCCGGUCCACCA